AAUCAACGCUGGCGGCGUGCCUAACACAUGCAAGUCGAACGCGAAAGUGGAGCAAUCCAUGAGUAGAGUGGCAAACGGGUGAGUAACACGUGGGUGACCUGCCUCUGAGUGGGGGAUAACGUCCCGAAAGGGACGCUAAUACCGCAUAACAUGCUGUCUUUUAACAGAUGGACAUCAAAGCCGGGGACCNCAAGGCCUGGCGCUCGAAGAGGGGCCCGCGCCUGAUUAGCUAGUUGGUGGGGUAAUGGCUCACCGAAGGCAACGAUCAGUAUACCGGCCUGAGAGGGCGGACGGACACACUGGGACU
rnacentral:rRNA from 1 species